rnacentral:rRNA from 1 species
AUACGAAGGGGGCUAGCGUUGUUCGGAAUUACUGGGCGUAAAGCGCACGUAGGCGGAUAUUUAAGUCAGGGGUGAAAUCCCAGAGCUCAACUCUGGAACUGCCUUUGAUACUGGGUAUCUUGAGUAUGGAAGAGGUAAGUGGAAUUCCGAGUGUAGAGGUGAAAUUCGUAGAUAUUCGGAGGAACACCAGUGGCGAAGGCGGCUUACUGGUCCAUUACUGACGCUGAGGUGCGAAAGCGUGGGGAGCAAACAGGAUUAGAAACCCUAGUAGUCC